rnacentral:rRNA from 1 species
UACGUAGGUGGCAAGCGUUGUCCGGAUUUACUGGGCGUAAAGAGCGCGCAGGCGGUCGUUCAAGUCGCGUGUGAAAGCCCCCGGCUCAACUGGGGAGGGUCACGCGAUACUGAUCGACUCGAAGGCAGGAGAGGGAAGUGGAAUUCCCCGGUGUAGUGGUGAAAUGCGUAGAUAUUGGGGAGGAACACCAGUGGCGAAGGCGGCUCACUGGACCGGUACUGACGCUGAUGCGCCGAAAGCGUGGGGAGCAAACGGG